UACGUAGGUGGCGAGCGUUGUCCGGAUUUACUGGGCGUAAAGGGCGUGCAGGCGGUUUGUCGCGUCUGCCGUGAAAGUCCGGGGCUCAACUCCGGAUCUGCGGUGGGUACGGGCAGACUAGAGUGAUGUAGGGGAGACUGGAAUUCCUGGUGUAGCGGUGAAAUGCGCAGAUAUCAGGAGGAACACCGAUGGCGAAGGCAGGUCUCUGGGCAUUAACUGACGCUGAGGAGCGAAAGCAUGGGGAGCGAACAGG
rnacentral:rRNA from 1 species